rnacentral:rRNA from 1 species
GCAUAUCAAUAAGCGGAGGAAAAGAAAAUAACAAUGAUUCCUCUAGUAACUGCGAGUGAAGAGGGAAAAGCUCAAAUUUUAAAUCUGUUAGGUUUACCUAACCGAGUUGUAAUUUGAAGCGUUUUCUGCGAAUUUGGUUAGUCCAAAUCCUUUGGAAUAAGGUAUCAUGGAGGGUGAGAAUCCCGUUCGGUUAACCAAAGCGCUUUACGAUACGCUUUCAAAGAGUCAAGUUGUUUGGGAUUGCAGCUUAAAAUGGGAGGUAAAUUUCUCCUAAGGCUAAAUAUUGGCUAGAGACCGAUAGCGAACAAGUACCGUGAGGGAAAGAUGAAAAGAACUUUGAAAAGAGAGUUAAACAGUACGUGAAAUUGUUGAAAGGGGAACGAUUAAAGUCAGUCGUACCUACGAGUAAUCAACCUACUCGAGUGCGAUUUUGUGGGUAUGUUAGAGUUUAAACCUUCAUGCUUACAAAUUGGUGCUCUUUGGGCGUACUUUCUCGUAUGGUAGGUUAACAUCAAUUUCGAUCGUUAUAAAAUGACUGGAGGAAUGUAGCUUCGAUCUCGGUUGAAGUGUUAUAGCCUUUGGUAGAUGUAAUGAUUGGGAUUGAGGAUUGCAACGGAUACCCUCUGGGCUAUUCGUCUGAUCUCUGGAAGUUACCAUGUGUCGAAAGCGUGCUUACGAUAUUAAGGUUGACGGCCAAUAGGUUAGAACGUGAUUAAAUUCGUUAAGGAUGUUGACGUAAUGGCUUUAAACGAC